GGGUGAGUAACACGUAUGCAACCUGCCCCUGUCAGGGGGACAACCCGCCGAAAGGCGGGCUAAACCCGCGUACAUGCCACCGGGGCAUCCCGGAGGCAGGAAAGCUUCGGCCGGACAGGGAUGGGCAUGCGGCGCAUUAGGCAGUAGGCGGGGUAACGGCCCACCUAACCGACGAUGCGUAGGGGUUCUGAGAGGAAGGUCCCCCACACUGGUACUGAGACGCGGACCAGACUCCUACGGGAGGCAGCAGUGAGGAAUAUUGGUCAAUGGUCGGGAGACUGAACCAGCCAAGCCGCGUGAGGGAUGAAGGUACAGAGUAUCGUAAACCUCUUUUGUCAGGGAACAAAGGCGGGGACGUGUCCCCGGAUGAGUGUACCUGAAGAAAAAGCAUCGGCUAACUCCGUGCCAGCAGCCGCGGUAAUACGGAGGAUGCGAGCGUUAUCCGGAUUUAUUGGGUUUAAAGGGUGCGCAGGCGGUCUGUUAAGUCGGCGGUCAAAGCCCGGGGCUCAACCCCGGCCCGCCGUUGAAACUGGCAGUCUCGAGUUGGAGAGAAGUAUGCGGAAUGCGCGGUGUAGCGGUGAAAUGCAUAGAUAUCGCGCAGAACUCCGAUUGCGAAGGCAGCAUGCCGGCUCCACACUGACGCUGAGGCACGAAAGCGUGGGUAUCGAACAGGAUUAGAUACCCUGGUAGUCCACGCAGUAAACGAUG
rnacentral:rRNA from 1 species